rnacentral:lncRNA from 1 species
CUAAAAAGAACAAAUAAAAACAGGUUUUCCAUUUUUUGUCUAUUUAGGGUUCCUGAAGAGUGUUCCCCCAAAAUUCAUGUCUACCUGAAACUGAAACUGAGUUCAUGUGUCCUUUUUUGGAAAUAGGAUCUUUGCAGAUGCAAUCAAGUUAAGAGGAGGUCAUACCAGAUUAGACUGAGUCUAUGUCUACUCAUUGGUGUCCUUAUGAGAAGAAAUUUUGGAUAUACAGAUACACACAGAGAAAAGACAGCCAUGUGAAGAUGGAGGCAGAGAUUGGAGUGAGGGUGCCACAAACCAAGGAAUACUAAGGACUAUCAGCAGCCAUCAGAAGCUAGGAAGAGGCAAAGAAAGAUCCAACCCUGAAGCCUUCUGCAAGAGCAUGACCCUACCUACAUCUUAAUUUCAGACGUCUAGUUUCCAGAACUGUGAGAAUAAAUUUCUCUUAAGCUACUCAGCUCGUGGUAAUUUAUUAAUCUAUUACCACAAUCCUAAGAAACUAAUACAGUGCCUGUUAAAUUACAUCUCUA